GGUUUCCAACCAAAGACAUGCACGCCUCGUGCCUUCUUUUGUCAAUCCUUAGGUAUCAUAAAUCAAUCUCUCUCUCUCUCUCUCUCUCUCUCUCUCUCUCUCUGGGAAGGUUUCUUUUAAAGGCUUUCCAACAAAGAGCUGAGACCCUUCAUCACUUGCUUCGAUUCCUCAUUUCUGGGUUUGGUCUCUCUGGGGACUGGUCUCGUGGGCAUACAUGUGUGUUGGUUUGAGAGGCUGAAGCUGCCAGCAUGAUCUGCUUCAAUCACUCAUUCACCAACAAAAAAGGGUACUCCUUGUUCGAUGGCUUGUCUCCCCCAAUGCUUAGCCAGGUAAUUCUCUGUUAUUUCUCCCUCAAAUUCACUAUAUUUUUAGCCAUUGCUUGUGAUGACAUUCUUUUAUCAUUGACUAAUUUUGUCUCAUUUUCUUCGGCAAAUUUGAAUUUGAUGGUAUUGGAUGAUUUCGGCCGUACAACUCAAAAUAUCCAAAGAAAUUUUCCUGUCCACAUAAUUAAAAGUCCAAAAAGGAAAAAAAAAACACAAAAUUAGGGGACAUGCAAGGCCACAUACGGUAUGAGAAAUUGACAAUACAUGUCCAGAUACGCCAAUCAAAGUCAAUGCUUUGCCUGUGUUCUUCUCCCAUUUUCCCAUGUAAAUAAUACCUAGUUCACACAUCUCCACAUAUGACACAUGAACAUGGCAUAGUCUCUCUCUCUCUGUCUCUCUCUUUCUGUGUUGUAGCGUCAGUUGUUUUUUGUCUGUCUUGGGGGCUUGUGCACUGGGGAAUCGACCGGUAAAACAAAGUCACAAGACACAAGAAAGGCAAAGCAAAUGCAUGCUUGGGACUAUAUUAUUAUUUGCCUUGUUGCAGCUUUCUCGUGGUUAAAAAUAGGUAAGCACUACACCACAUUGUACCAUUCGUUAGUGUGUCUCCUACUAGCACACCAUCACAAUGCCCCAAAGGAGAUGAAGAUUUGGUUCUCUUCUUGAAUUUCCCGUUAUUCAAAAA